CCGUCUCUGUUCGCAAGGACGUGUUUCGCGGCGUCCUCGACGCGUUUGCCUACAUAAUGUAUAGUAAAUAUUAAAUACACCGCGAACGUUGAUAUAUACGCUUAAGUUGACACAAAGCCGAAGUACCUAUCCACCUAUACGCCUCUAUGGAUGUAUAAAUAUAUUGAUACAAGGGUUUUUCCGGAAAAAUAUUAUGGGAUAAGGGUAAAGGAAUAACGUCUGUGAUGGUAAAUAUUGUAGAGAGACUCAGAGUGCGGCGGAAAAGGAUUUGCGUGCUCGACAAACUCG